GGCUUGGUGGUCUAGUGGUAUGAUUCUCGCUUAGGGUUCACCCUUUGCCAAGAAGAUGCUGAACAGUAUUCUUCAAAUCUGCGAGAGGUCCCGGGUUCAAUCCCCGGCCAAGCCC